GUGCGCACUGGGCCAGCGGGCGGCCGGGGCAGGGCUGGGGUCCCGGCGCUGAGCGCCCCCAGCCGCGCCGGGCAGCCUGGCGCCUCGCUGAGUCGGAGCAACCCCCGGCAGGAGCUUUCAGGCUCUGGUCAAGCCUCGGGACCCGGGAAGCUAUCCCUGCCCUCGGGGGCUCGAGCCUGGAGUGGGGCUUGCAGGUAAAGCGGGGCUGGGGCCGUCCUGGCCGUCAGUGGUCAGGAAGACGCAGCGACCCCGGAGAUCCAUGUCCCCCUCUGUACGCAUGAGAGGUCUGAAGGUCAGAGGUUAAAGCGCACGCUAACGGCGGCAGAGCCAGCAAGCGGCAGAGCUGGGCGGAUGCCAGCCUAGGGAGCCUCCCCCCACCAGCCCAGGCUGCCCCCAGCAAAGCCACAUCAGCAGGUCAUAGCCAAAUGAAAGAUGUGCUGUCGAGCUGAGACUUGGGAGGGGCAGGACUCAGCUGGGCAAACAUUCAUUCAGUGUCAUUAGACAAAUAUUUAUUGAGCACUUGCUGUGUGCCAGGUAGUCACUAAGAUGUGGGGACACCACAGUGAACAGCAGAGAGGAAGCGGCUGCCCACCAGAGCUUACUUUCUAGCAAGGAGAAGGCAGGGAAGAGCACCCACCAAAGGGAGCAGCAUGGGGGAACACCCUGACUGCUGUGAACGGGACAUAUUUGAGAAUCUGAUAAAAGUAUCUGGGCCACAGAAUGGUGAGAGGGAGUGUGUGGAAGAUGGGGGGCGGGGGCACAGAGGGGCAGCACUUGCAAGGUCUUGCAGGCUGGCGAGAGUUUGGAGACUGUCUCACCUGGAAGGUGGUCCCAUGGACCAUUGUCAGAUUGAUAUUUUUUAAAGUGCAUCAGUCAGGAUAAGCUAUGUUAGCCACAGUAACAACCAAACCCAAAUCUCCCUGGUGUGUCUUGCCCACAUCAUACAUCCUGCCUCGGUCAAUGGGGCUCUGUUCAUCAGAGUGGUUGGGAGCCCAAGCUGCUGGGGCUGUCUGCCAGCCGAGCACCCACAUGGUGCAGCAAUGUGAAUGAAAGGUGACAAUUAUGCUGGCUUUGAAGGCUUCCUCCCCGAAGGGACUCUCGUCACUUCUGCUCACGUUUCAUUGGCCAGAGCAGGUCACAUGGCCAUGCCUAACUUCAGAAGAGGAGGAAGUGCAGACCUCUAAGGUUCAGGGGGUCAGGAGGAACUAGGAUAUCUGUGAGCAGAUGUGAGACUAUCUUUAGCAGAUGCCCUGGCUGCCCUUGGGGCAUGGGCUGAAGUAGUCAAGAGUGGGGACAAGGAGGCAGUGUGGGGGCCUCCUCCACGCUGAUACAGUGAAGUAUCAGCGCAUCAGAGCAAUCUGGGUGCAGAAUUGGCAGGACAUGCUCACGGCUUGGACGUGGACAGGAGGGAGGGAGGGACAAUCAGGGACAAUGCCCAGGUAUCCUGGGAUGAAUUGUGUUCCCCCCACCCACCCCCUCAAAAAAAAAAACUCGUAUGUUGAAGUGCUCACUCCCAGGACCUCAGAAUAUGACCUUACUUGGAAAUAGGGUCGUUGUAGAUGUAAUUAGCUAAGAUGAGGUCACAAUGGAGUAGGUUGGAUUCCUAAUCCAGUCUGCCUUCUAUCCUUAUAAAAGGGGGAAAUUGGAUACAGAGACACAAGCAACGGGAGCAUGCCGUGUGAACAUGAAGGUAGAGAUCAGGUCGAGGCAUCAGCUAGCCAAGGAAAUGCCAAAGAUGGGAGCAAACCCCCGGAAGCCAUGAGAGCGGCCUGGGACAGAUCCUUCCCCAGGGCUUCAUAGGGAGCGUGGACCAGCUGACACCUGAUUUCAGACUUCUAGCUUACAGAAGAUGUAAUUUUCUUUUUCAAAAUGUCUUCUACGUGGCAAGUUGGCUGCCUCUUCCCAGACAUCUCAUCACUAUUCCAGUCAAGAAGGGGAAGAACAAAAGGCAUACCCACACUAGGUCAGCUCCACUUCACCGCUUUCCUGAAAACUCUCCCCAGAGAGCUCUGUUUUAUCUCAUUGGCUGGGACGGUGUCUCAUGGCCAGCCCUGGCUUCAGAGGAGGCUGGGAGUAUUGUUAUUAUUUUUUAAGAUGGUGUCUUGCUCUGUUGUCCAGUUUGGAGUGCAAUGGCGUGAUCUUGGCUCAUUGCAACCUCCGCCUCCCGGGUUCAAGUGAUUCUCCUGCCUCAGCCUCUCAAGUAGCUGGGAUUACAGGCCCACACCACCACACCCAGCUAAUUUUUGUAUUUUUAGUAGAGAUGGAGUUUUGCCAUGUUGGCCAAGCUGGUCUCAAACUGCAGACCUCAGGUGAUCCACCCACCUUGGCCUCCCAAAAUGCUGGAAUUACAGGUGUGAGCCACCACGCCCGGCCAAGGAUGUUUUUUUUUAAUUGAAGGUACAUUGCUGCCUGAAACAAAGUCAGGGUUCCAUUAGUGAGGAAAAGAAGAAGAAUGACUUUUGAACAGGCAACUAUUGGUUAGUAGAUCCAGGUUUUGUAAAACCUGGAGCCGCUACAGUCCCCCUUAGGAAGAAGAAUUUAAAAACCCCAGUACAAGACUUGGUACAAAAAUGAAAACUUAUUUAGAAUAAUAACAAAUCACAACAAAUUUUAAAAUAUUUUAAGUUGACAAAUAUCAAAAACGUUGCGAAAACAUUAUAAAACUAAUAUAAAAUUGUAUUAAUUGGAUACCUGAUAUCCACCUUUAUAAUAUCUUCUUUUUUUUACAUUUUUUGCUUCUUCGUCAUUUUUGAUUACCUCUUUGGAAGCCAAUGAUUUUAUAAUAUUUUUCCUGUGGAGAAAAUAGAUAAUUCAGAGUACUCCUAUAAUGAUGGGAACAAAUUUUAAUGUUGGUUGGAAAACUUUGUCAGCCUCAUAACUCAUUAUUGGUAAUCUCAGGUAGUUUUUUGAGAUUGUUUUCAAAUUUGGAGAAAGGUCUAUCAUUCUUUCAUAAAUGAAUGCUAACACUUGGAAGAAUUCUAUUUCUUCCAGGCUUCUUACUGGGAUUUUAUUAAUUUUCAUGAUGAAAAGCAACUGAACAAUUGCAAACCAGAACAUGACUCGACUAACACCUCCUAAACCUCAGUGCUGGCGCCCAUCACCUGGAGAGGCAUAGGAGAAAUGCAGAUGCCCAGGCUCCUCCACAUCCCACUGAAUUGAAGCCUCAGAGUAGCAGGGUCUAGGAAUCAGCAUUUUACUAAAUGCCCCAGGUGACUCCUGCUGAGCAGUCCUGGGCUAUGCGACACCCCCAGUUGCCUUGUGACUCUGAGGGUCUGCAAAUCCAGACCUCUCCUAUUGGAAGAAUGACAUUUUCAACCCUUAUGUCUCUUCCUCUGCCCAUAGACUCCUGGUGCCAGGCACCAUAGCACACAUUGCCAGUGCCAUGGCAAGGAGGGCACUCCUGGGAGCCAUUAGCCUGUUCAGGGAGCAACAACUCGACCCACACAGACUGGCUCAGACCUACAUAAACACACCCCACUAAACCCAAACCAAGGCAUCCCCAACUCAAUCCCCCUUCAGCUACAUCCCCAAAAUGCCCUUGGCCUCCGCAGCAGCUCCGAAGUGGGAGGAAGCAUGAUGAGGGCGGCAUAGGGAAAGAGACAGAGGGUAUUAUGGGUUGGAUUGUGUCCUCCAGAACUUGAGUGCUGAAGCCCUAACCCCCAGGAGCUCAGAAUGUGACUGUAUUUGGUGAUAGGACCUUUAAAGAGGUCACUGAGCUUAAAUGAGGUCUUUAGGGUGGGACCUAAUGCAAUAUGCCUGGUGUCCUUAUAAGAAGAGAUUAAGACACAGAAGGAAGCCCCUGUGGAGACACAGUGAGAAGAUGGCCAUCUGCAAGCCAAGGAGAGGGGACUUGGAGGAAACCAACACCUUGGUCUCAGACUUGAAGCCUCCUGAACUGUGAAAAAUAAGUUUCUGUUGUUAAAGCUCUUCAGUCUGUGGAACCCUGUCUUGGAAACCCUGGCAGCCAGCUUAGCCAGUUACAGCUAAAAUAUCUUGCUUUUGGAAAGUAUUUCCAAACACAAGGCCACAUGAACCCAGAGCUCUGGCUCUCCCAGGCCUUGGAAGGGUCUGUACUUAGCUUCACAAGGAAUUCACCCCCGCUGCCACCACGUGGUCACUACAUAACCCUCAGGACGACCUAUGGGGCAGGGGGUCAGGUACCACCAAGAUCUCCCUAUUAGGGACGAGAGGUUGGGGCCCAGGGGCUCACUCACAGCAAGCAGCAUGGAAGCCACGAGUCUUCCGAAGCCAAAGCUGCUUUCCCCGCCCCGUGUGCCCUGAGCCCACAAGUGGUAGGGAGGAAGUGCCCUGAGCCCUGGAAGUGGUAGAGAGGCAGGUUUCAGCUCCCUAUAAAGACAAACAUUCUCAUCAGAGGGGCUCCUCUCUGGGAAGCUGUGAGCACCCAACACCUGUGAUGGGCUGGUCACUUGCAAAGAUGGUGGAAAGAAACUUCAGUUCCUGCUGCUCUUGCAGAGUAGAGUGUGGUCACCACCACCACUGCAGGGCUGGGCUGCUGGGAUUAAAUUCCAGCUGUGUCAGGUACCCAUGGUGACCUUAGGCAAGUAAGUGAACCUUUAGUUUCCUUAUCUGUAAGAUUAAUCUUUUAAUCAUAAUAACUGCAUAGGUUUGGGUGGGGAUUCAGUGAGUGAAUAUAUGUGACUCUGGGUUUGUUUCCUGGGCUGCCCUAAUACAGUAUCACAGACUGGGAGGCCUGAAACAACAGACAUUUAUUUUCUCACAGUUAUGCCUGGCCAGAGUCCACAGUCAGGGUGUUGGCAGGGCUGUGCUUCCCCUAGAGGCUCUAGGAGAGGAUCCUUCUUGGCCUCUUCCAGCUCCCGGUGGCUCCAGGACUUCCUUGGCUUGCGGCCGCAUCACUCCAGUCUCUGCCUCUGUAUUACACGGCUUCCUCCUCUUUGUGUGAGUGUCUUUUAUAAGGAUGUCAUUGGAUGGAGGACUCACCCAGAUAACCCAGGAGGAUCUCUUCUCAAGCUCCCUAACUUAAUCAUACCUGCAAAGACUCUUUUUCCAAAUGAGUUCCCAUAUCACAGUUUCCAGGAUGUGGACAUACCUUUAGUUAUUAUGAAUUAUAUGGUUAUUUAUCUACAGCUGUGAUAAUUCUAAAGGAGGAAGAGAAGUUGGUAGGAGACCAUGUAACAUGGAGAUUGGCUUGGUCUGAGGGGCAGAGUCUUCCUUGAGGUGGUUAGCUUGAGUAUUAGCUAGCUAGAAGAAGAGGAACAGAAACAAUGUCCCAGGGCCAGUGAACAGCAGCAUGAAGGCCCAGAGUUAGGAUUUGACCUUCCACUUGAAAGGGAGCCACUGGGGGCUCUUGGGGCAGGGCGAGAGUGGCAGGAUUAAAGGAGGCCUGUGAGCACGUGUGGAAGAGCAGCCUGACCUCACCAGCCCCGUGGAAGAUCCCACCAAGACCGGUGCACAUCUACUGUGCUGGCACUCUGCCUAGGCACCAGGAACACAGCAGGGAAACAGCUGUUUGUGCCCCCAAGGGCUCAUGGGCCAGUGGGAGAGACAGAAGAGUACCUGGAUCAUUCUGAUGGGGUAGCCCUGGGCUAUAAAAGUGCAGAGGAAGGGGCCAGGUGCAGUGUCGCAUGUCUAUAAUCCUAGUGCUUUGGGAGGCUGAGGCAGAAGGAUCCCUUCAAACCAGGAGUUCAAGCCAGCCUGGGCAGCAUAGCAAGACCUUGUCUCUAC
rnacentral:lncRNA from 1 species